ACAGUCUCCAGGCUGCAGCAUCUGGUGAGGAAGGGAAGGUGUAUGGCUGCAUUGUUUUUCUCUUGGUGUUCAACUGGAAUAGAGCAGGAAAUUGCUUUGGAGAUGAGGAAACAAACUCUUAUGGAGACCUAAGAGACUGAAGACAUCUGGCGUGGACUACUCUGAUGACUCAUUGCUUCCAGCUGUUCGUGGACCAAUACUAGAUGCCAGCAAUAGAGAAAUCACUGCAGUUCCCCAAAGGAAAAAAGUCACGUGUUCAUGAUGAUCAAACACAGCUGUUUGAUUGGUGUUAAAAUGGAUCUGCCUGAUAAGACCUGGAACUGAGAACCCAAACAGAGCCUUAAGGAUGACACAUGCUUCAUACAGUAAGUGCUUCAGAUGCUACCCAUGGAGGAUAGGUUUCAGAGCCUGCAGAUUUAAGGUGAGCAAGCAAUAAAGAUUUGUCGUAUCGUUCACUGAGAUUUGGGGGUUGUUUGCUACCACAGCAUAAUCAAGCCAUGCUAUUAUAGCUGGUAAAUCAAAAGAGCU
rnacentral:lncRNA from 1 species